CUUGAGCGCGCCCAGCAGCAGCGGCCGGCUCGCGGGGCGGUCCUGGCCGUAGGUGGCGAGCAGGGCGUGGGCCUC
rnacentral:antisense_RNA from 1 species